UACGUAGGAGGCAAGCGUUAUCCGGAAUGACUGGGCGUAAAGGGUGCGUAGGUGGUUCAGCAAGUUAGUAGCGUAACUCCGGGGCUCAACCUCGGCACUACUACUAAAACUGUUGGACUUGAGUGCAGGAGGGGCAACUGGAAUUCCUAGUGUAGCGGUGGAAUGCGUAGAUAUUAGGAGGAACACCGGCGGCGAAGGCGGCCUGCUGGACCGCGACUGACGUUGAGGCUCGAAAGCGUGGGGAGCGAACAGG
rnacentral:rRNA from 1 species